rnacentral:rRNA from 1 species
AACGAACGCUGGCGGCAGGCUUAACACAUGCAAGUCGAACGCUCGUAGCAAUACGGGAGUGGCAGACGGGUGAGUAACGCGUGGGAACAUACCCUUUGGUUCGGAAUAACUGAGAGAAAUUUCAGCUAAUACCGGAUGUGCCCUUCGGGGGAAAGAUUUAUCGCCAAAGGAUUGGCCCGCGUCUGAUUAGCUAGUUGGUGAGGUAACGGCUCACCAAGGCGACGAUCAGUAGCUGGUCUGAGAGGAUGAUCAGCCACACUGGGACUGAGACACGGCCCAGACUCCUACGGGAGGCAGCAGUGGGGAAUAUUGGACAAUGGGGGCAACCCUGAUCCAGCCAUGCCGCGUGAGUGAUGAAGGCCUUAGGGUUGUAAAGCUCUUUCGUCAGGGAAGAUAAUGACGGUACCUGAAGAAGAAGCCCCGGCUAACUUCGUGCCAGCCGCCGCGGUAAAAC